UAAACUCACACACAUUAUUUCAGAGAAAGAAGAGGAAUAAUUUUUGCAGUACAGAGGGCUGAAUGCUAAAUUAAACACCAAGAAAAACAAAGUCCACUGUUACUAAAUUUGGUGGAAGCUCCCCAGACACACCAGAGUAUAUAUUCCAUGGUGUGACAUUGAUCUAGUGUUUUGGAUUCUGUGUGCAUGCAGCUCCUGGUUCCACCUGGGUGAGCGCCUGGGGCAGUGACCUUCUCUCCAGGCACAAGACAUCUCACUGCAUGACCAGCAGGUGACAAACAAGGGUCUGUCUCUGUGUCUUUCUCCACUGCACAUGUCCUGCACUGGCAGCUUCCAGCUUGCUAAAAACCAACACGAGCAGGCCACCCAAGGAGUCUCCAACAUCUCUGUCCUGUCCAUCACAGUGUGAGCUGGCCAAUGCCCCCAAGGGGCUGGGCGUGUCAGCUGGCAUCCUCCUCCCAGUGCAACAGGUUACAGCCCCACACCACCACAGAUAAACUGGGUGAUUCCUUUAUAAAGAAGGCAACAGCUAGUGCAAGCACUGCCCUUUUACAGGGGUCAGCACCAAACAAUUCAACUUGCAAAUAAGAAUCUUGGAGAAAGCACCAGCUCCUGUGCUCAGUGCUCUCCAGACAGUGUGGGGUUCUCACCUGGCAUCUCUAUUCCUGACAGGACUUCUGCUCCUUCCUGCUCCUCUAGCAUGAAUACACUUGCAUCUUCAUAAGAGAGGUAAAAUUGGAAAAAAAAAAAAAAAAAAAAAAAAAAGAAGAAGUUUACAUGACAAGUUUUUGUUUGAUGAAAUUGUGGUCUAGUGAUAAAAAGAAAAAAGAUGAUGACACAACCGAUACCAUGUAUUUUGCAUAAUAUUAAUAACUUAGCAUAAUCCAAGUAGUGCUAUUAUUGCUCCCAAGUGUGACUAAUUAGAUAUGUAAAAAUAGCUUUUCUCAUCUGUAGAAUAUAUUUGUCUUUCUAAAAUACCCAUUUUAUUUAAGAUAUUUAAUUCUGAGUGCCGAACAUGUGAGGCAGAUUUUGACAGCUAAGAGGACUGCUUGUCAGUGAAAACUGGGUAAUUUUUGCAGAGUGAUGGGUAUGACAGAAAAGGUUAUUUUUCAACGUGAGUCCCAGUCCAUGUUUGUGCAGUGCCUAGGGUAUUGAACCCUCCUGGCUUAAGGUUUGCAAGUGCUGUCAAAAUGCAAGUACAAAGUCAUUAAUCUACGUGAGCCCCUCAGGAGCAACAGCCUCGGAGUCCCAUGCACAAGGGCACCGUACACAGGCAGUGACACCAAAAGCAAUGGGCUUCAGGCCCUGAGCAUGAAAUAGGAUUUGUUUUCCCUUGGCAUAUUGGAAGAAAUUAAGGACCACUCAUGAGUUGCCAGCACUGACUUUUCCACAUCUUCUGCACUAAAAGAAAUGGAUUUUGGCUUUAUGUAGUACUUUUUUUUCUGCUCUCUUCGCAAAAUGUUAACAAUUAAGUUAAGUGCAGUGGCUCUCAAGGUUAAAAGGAAGCAGACACUGUGUACUCAAUACUGGUUACACUCAUUAGGAUGUUGCAGUCUGUUUCACUGAACAGGGCACAGUUGGAUGACAAACUGCACCCUCUUGUAACAAAAUCAAGAAUUAUUGGCCUUCAUGUUGCCUCCCACUGGGCUUCUUUCUCUAGUGCCACAGAGAUCACUCAGGAGUGCUGUGUGCCUAAAUGGGUCCCCCAGCCUCACUCUCCUUUCACAUAGGCAGCCUAAUGUCCAGAGGAAAAGUAGAGGUUAAGCUUUUUCCGUUUCUUACCCAAAAUCAUGCUAUAAUGAGGAGCUGCCUACCUUCUUUAUAGUGCUUAGGGCAGGCUGGACUCCUCCCUGGGUUUGGCCCCAGACCUGGAGAUGAAGAAAGCACAUUUUCCACCCCACAGAGGGUCUCUGGCACUGGCUCCAGGUGCAUUCCUCUGAAGCUCUUCCCUGUUCCAUGGGCUGCCACUGAGGAAGACCCAGACCUGCUCAGCUGGAAUACCUGCCUGGGACACAGCAAGCAUGUGGGAGUAACAGCUUGCUCUUUUUCUGUCAUACUAACAAGCACCCUUUUCCUGCCUUCGGUGCAGGUACAUCCUCAGCUGUGCCAAGAGCUUCCCAUUCUACAAAUCCUCUGUUGCUGAAGCUGCCUGAACAGGUCUAAACUCUCAGCUGAACAGAGCCAUUCCUGUAUCCACAAUGCCACAUAUUACCAGGAAGAAACCUUCAAACUAAAAUCAAUGCAUUGCUCAAGCAAGAAGCAGUAAAGUCUCUUUGGACAGCGGGGUUUUUUUGUCUGCAGCCCACACAUCUUUCCAGCUGUGAAAGUGCUUUGGAUGCUGAAGACUCUAGAAGGUGUAAUCACUGAGGAGAGCUGUAGGUUGUCAGUGUCCACAGCUGCUGGAGGUGGUUGCUGGCCUGAAUACCGACCAAGGCAGUUAUGGCUAUGCCGUGUGGAGUCCUGAUUUGUUCUUCUGUGAGUAAGUUGAACCUAGCCCAUAUCAGCAAAAAAAAACAACCAUUAGACACCUCUCCCUCCCAGAAUAGUUGGAUUCACUUUGAAGUCAUUACAAUUGCAAAGUUUUAGUCUAUCUCCUUUUGAAUUUCCACUCCCCUGUAGCUGCUAAGGUUUCCAUUACACCAGGGACAUCUAGAAAUUAAUUGCUUUAAUGUGCAAGCAGAGAUUACAGCUCAGACUCAGAUUAGAGAAUCAGACUGCUAGCUCAUCACAGCCAAGGCUUCUCUGUAAGCCUGUAGCUUUCUUAGGGGUCGGCAUGACUCCUCAGUCUGAUGGACUGCACACUGCUCCAGCACCAUUGUUAGAGGGUUCUGACCUUCCUUCCACUAAAACACAGUGCAGUUUUUAUGCCUGUAUAGAGACUACAUUUAUAGCCAGAUUCAUUUAUCCUUUUCUUCUCUCUUCUUGUGGAGUGUAUGCUUAUAGGUGCAUACACAGGUGUGUGUGUGUAUAUUUAGACUGGCUGAGACUGUCUAGACCCAGGACUGGGCAGCUCUUCCCUGUCUGCUUUUUACCUAAUAAGUGAUACAAUAAAAAGUCAUGAUGUA